rnacentral:rRNA from 1 species
GACGAACGCUGGCGGCGUGCUUAACACAUGCAAGUCGAACGGAAAGGCCCUGCUUUUGUGGGGUGCUCGAGUGGCGAACGGGUGAGUAACACGUGAGUAACCUGCCCUUGACUUUGGGAUAACUUCAGGAAACUGGGGCUAAUACCGGAUAGGAGCUCCUGCUGCAUGGUGGGGGUUGGAAAGUUUCGGCGGUUGGGGAUGGACUCGCGGCUUAUCAGCUUGUUGGUGUGGUAGUGGCUUACCAAGGCUUUGACGGGUAGCCGGCCUGAGAGGGUGACCGGCCACAUUGGGACUGAGAUACGGCCCAGACUCCUACGGGAGGCAGCAGUGGGGAAUAUUGCACAAUGGGCGGAAGCCUGAUGCAGCAGCGCCGCGUGCGGGAUGACGGCCUUCGGGUUGUAAACCGCUUUCGCCUGUGACGAAGCGUGAGUGACGGUAAUGGGUAAAAAAGCACCGGCUAACUACGUG